CGUCCCCUCAACUAUAAUUCAACUCUGCAUCCGUCACUGGAACGAAGUCUACGGUCCUAUUAAAAUAUUAUCGUGUACGCGUAUCGUAAAACAACGUUUUUAUAGUCUCAAUGUGCGGGCGAGCACGUGUCCUUUGAAAGGGAUGAUGUAUCCGCAUGUGUUCGCUCGAUUUUGGUUUUAAAGUAAAAGCACCUAUUAAUGAAUUAAAAGAAGACAAUAUUUCGGGGGAUAAACCGAAAUUCUGUUAAAUAUUACACUCGUUUAUCACUUCUAAACAUUGUACGAUGAAGGUUACAUCCG